rnacentral:rRNA from 1 species
UACGGGGGGAGCAAGCGUUGUUCGGAUUUACUGGGCGUAAAGGGCGCGUAGGCGGCCACCGCAAGUCGAUUGUGAAAUCUCCGGGCUUAACCCGGAAAGGUCAAUCGAUACUGCGGGGCUGGAGUGCAGAAGGGGCAACUGGAAUUCUCGGUGUAGCGGUGAAAUGCGUAGAUAUCGAGAGGAACACCUGCGGCGAAGACGGGUUGCUGGGCUGACACUGACGCUGAAGCGCGAAAGCUAGGGGAGCGAACGGG